rnacentral:rRNA from 1 species
UACGGAGGGUGCAAGCGUUGCUCGGAAUCAUUGGGCGUGAAGCGCACGUAGGCGGCCUGUUAAGUCGGAUGUGAAAGCCCCGGGCUCAACCCGGGAAGUGCAUUCGAAACUGGCAGGCUUGAAUAUGGAAGAGGGUCGCGGAAUUCCCGGUGUAGAGGUGAAAUUCGUAGAUAUCGGGAGGAACACCAGUGGCGAAGGCGGCGACCUGGGCCAAUAUUGACGCUGAGGUGCGAAAGCGUGGGGAG